rnacentral:rRNA from 1 species
GACAGAGGGUGCAAACGUUGUUCGGAAUUACUGGGCAUAAAGCGCACGUAGGCGGUCCGUUAAGUCAGGUGUGAAAGCCCCCGGCUCAACCGGGGAAUGGCAUUUGAUACUGGCGGACUUGAGGAUGAGAUGGGUGGGCGGAACUCCAGGUGGAGCGGUGAAAUGCGUAGAUAUCUGGAGGAACACCGGUGGCGAAAGCGGCCCACUGGACCAUCACUGACGCUGAGGUGCGAAAGCUAGGGUAGCAAACGGG